rnacentral:rRNA from 1 species
GAGUUUGAUCGUGGCUCAGAACGAACGCUGGCGGCAUGCCUAACACAUGCAAGUCGAACGAACUCUUCGGAGUUAGUGGCGCACGGGUGCGUAACGCGUGGGAAUCUGCCCUUGGGUACGGAAUAACUCAGAGAAAUUUGUGCUAAUACCGUAUAAUGACUUCGGUCCAAAGAUUUAUCGCCCAAGGAUGAGCCCGCGUAAGAUUAGCUAGUUGGUGGGUAAGGACCGUACC